rnacentral:rRNA from 1 species
ACCGUAAAGGUAAAGAAACUUUAGUUUUAAAUGUUAAGGGAUAUGAGAAGGGAAAGAAAAUUUUAUUUUGAGGGUAAAAUCUUAAAUUAAAAGGUUUUUCUAAGAAUGGUCUUUAUAAUUUCUAAAGUGAAACUAGGAUUAGAUACCCUAUUAUUAUUGAAGAAAAUGCAAUUAGGUAGUAGUAGAUGUCUUGAAACUUAAAGAAUUUGGCGGUAUUUUAAUCUUACCAGAGGAACUUGUGUUGUAAUUCGAAAUUACCCGUUUCAUCCUACUUAAAUUUUGUUUGUAUAUCGUCGUAAAAAUAAAACUUUAAGGUGAAUAUUUUAAAUUAUUUUAUAGAAAAUUACAGAUCAAGGUUCAGCAUACUUAAGUAAACAUGAGUUACAAUUUCAAUGAGAAAAAAUGGAUACUUUUUUGA